CCUACGGGUGGCAGCAGUGAGGAAUAUUGGUCAAUGGACGAGAGCCUGAACCAGCCAAGUAGCGUGCAGGAUGACUGCCCUAUGGGUUGUAAACUUCUUUUAUAUGGGAAUAAAAUGACGCACGUAUACGUUUUUGCAUGUACUUUAUGAUUAAGGAUCGGCUAACUCCGUGCCAGCAGCGGCGGUAAUAAGGAGGAUCCGAGCGUUAUCCGGUUUUAUUUGGUUUAAAGGGAGCGUAGGUGGGUUGUUAAGUCAGUUUUGAAAGUUUGCGGCUCAACCGUACAAUUGCAAUUGAUACUGGCAGUCUAGAGUACAGUAGAGGUAGGCGGAAUUCGUGGUGUAGCGGUGAAAUGCGUAGAGAUCAAGAAGAACCCCGAUGGCGAAGGCAGCUUGCUAGACUGUAACUGACGCUGAUGCUCGAAAGUGUGGGGAGCAAACAGGAUUAGAUACCCGUGUAGUC
rnacentral:rRNA from 1 species